AAGCAAAAUUUACUGAACUUCAGAGAUCAGUUCCUCUUUGGCGUACCAUCUAAAAUCUCUUCAUUUUAGCAGAAUUUGACAUAUUGUUUUAAAAUUCAGAUACUUGUAAAGUUUGUUUGCCGCUUGAGAAACCGGUAUCAAAAAUUUAAAAAUUUGAAUAUAGUCAGGGCAUUUUUUAACUAUAUAACUACUGGGUAUAUACCCCAGUAGGUCCUUUGCUUGCCCCAGUAGUGAAGCAUGAUUUUCAGAUGAGCUAUGGACCCUUUUGACUGCCUGCUUUCUCAUAUCCUCUCACAUUAUCACACUAGCGCUGCCCCUGAGCACAGCAUGGUUUUUAUGUACCAGUAACUGUGUGAGGGAAAGGCCCUCAUUGAGACUUGGCCCCAGUAGUUGUAAUUUCUUAAAAAAUGCCCUGAAUAUAGUCAUAACCAAUUAGUGGAAAAGUAUAUUCACUAGUUUUGUGCGCGUGUACAUACAAAUGAUUCUCGUCUUAAUCGUUAUGUCAGAAGAAGACUAGUCACUAGAUACAAAAAAAAUUGAGUUGAAUAUUCGAUAAAUGAUUCAAAUGUCAGUGAGAGUAAAUCAUGACACAUGAAUUUUCCUGACUGAAUGUAAAUGUCACCCAACCCUGUAAAUGAAUAUGAACAUGAGACAAC
rnacentral:lncRNA from 1 species